AUGCACAUUUGUAUCUAAAUCAUUUUAUGAUGAAUGCCAUAUUUGUGCCAUUUCGUUGGUAAUCACCACUAAAAAGGUUGGAUCUAAUAAAGGGCUGGUUUAUUAUAUGUGAAGCUCUAGCCGAAAUGCGGAGUGCUUUGUCGGUUAAUCUGCUGGUGUACGGCUUCUGAGGAGGUGAAGAUGCUGCAUCAGAGAUGCUUGCUGACAAGGUGAUUGUUGAGAAGGCUGAGAGAAGUGAUAUUCCUGACAUCGACAAGAAAAAGUCAGUUCUCAACUUCUCUACUAGAUAUCUGAAAAUUAUUUCUACUUAGGCUGAGAGAAGGCUGAGAGGUGAUUGUAUGGACUCUUUUGUUUAAUCUCGAUGUAUGAGCUCAUAUGAUUGAAUUCUGCUGCUAUAAUUAUAUAUUAUAUAUAUUGUACAAAUGAUGCAAUAUUAUUAUA